ACGAGAAUUUUUUAUUCCUAUUCUUGGUACUUACUAAAUUGAAUACUUUGUAUACAUCCGAAGUAUUCUGUGUUUACAUAAUGACUACUUUAAUGUUUCAGGCGUAAGCGUCUGCGUAGCCCUCGUGUUACACCCGCUCAAAUUGAUGCACUACUAUCAAUAUUAGAAGCGCGUCCAUAUUUGCACACGCGGAAAUUUACCGGCUUGCAGGGCCGGGAAAAUUUCGAAACGGGCUGGAGGGAGGUUGCCGAGGAGCUCAAUAAUCUCCCUAACGGGUCUAGAAAGACACCAGAGCAGUGGAUGACGGUUUGGAGAGACUUAAAAAGCCGCGCUUGCAGUAAGGCGGCAAAAUUAAAAAAAGAA